rnacentral:rRNA from 1 species
CGGCGGACGGGUGAGUAACGCGUGGGUAACCUACCUAUAAGACUGGGACAACUUCGGGAAACCGGAGCUAAUACAGGAUAAGAUAUCGAACCGCAUGGUUCGAUAGUGAAAGAUGGUUUUGCUAUCACUUAUAGAUGGACCCGCGCCGUAUUAGCUAGUUGGUGAGGUAACGGCUCACCAAGGCAACGAUACGUAGCCGACCUGAGAGGGUGAUCGGCCACACUGGAACUGAGACACGGUCCAGACUCCUACGGGAGGCAGCAGUU